GUCUUCCUGUCCCUAUAGGAAGUCUGACCUGCCCAGUGAUUAUUUUAACGGCCGCGGUAUAUUGACCGUGCAAAGGUAGCAUAAUCAUUAGUCUUUUAAAAGGAGGCUGGAAUGAAAGGUUUGACGAGACAUUUACUGUCUCAACUUCAAUUAUUAAAAUUUAACUUUUAAGUUAAAAGGCUUAAAUUUUAUUGGAAGACGAGAAGACCCUAUAGAGCUUUAUGGUUUUAUCUUUAUUUUCUUUAUAAUUAGUUUUUAUUGAUUCAGCUUUUUUGUUGGGGUGACAAGAGAUAUAAGUUUAACUUUUUUAUAUAUAGUACAUUUAUUUAUGAUUUAUUAGAUCCAUUAUUAGUGAUUGUUAGAGUAAGUUACCUUAGGGAUAACAGCGUAAUCUUCUUUGGGAGUUCAAAUUUACAAGAAGGAUUGCGACCUCGAUGUUGGAUUAAGAUUAUAAUUGGGUGCAGUAGCUCAAUGAUAUAGGUCUGUUCGACCUUUAAAUUCUUACAUGAUCUGAGUUCAGACCGG
rnacentral:rRNA from 1 species